rnacentral:lncRNA from 1 species
GCUUUGUCAGCUUCAGCAGAAGUAUUACUGUUCCUAGAACAACCUCCUGUACAUAGACAAAACUGGAUUUUCCUCAGUGUUCUGUAUCUGAAGAGUAAGAAGGUCUCUGACAUUCAGUAGGAUGAGAAUCUCUGAACAGGCUGACUACUGGGGACUCAGAAGCUGCAGUUCAGGUGAGUAACUUCUUUGGAGGAGGAACUUAAAGGUUUCUUCUUUAAAAAUUAUGAUAAUUAAGUAGCAAAGGGUGCAACUUAAACUAUAAAUAUUUUCCACUUAACAUUUACAUUUAAAAUAGAUUUGUGAGAGGAUUUGUUAGUUACUAUUUG